rnacentral:rRNA from 1 species
UUAAGAUAGUAAGAGCAUACGGUGGAUGCCUUGGCGAUAUCUGCCGAUGAAGGACGCGACAAGCUGCGAAAAGCUGCGGUGAGGUGCAAAUGACCUUUGACCCGCAGAUGUCCGAAUGGAGCAAUCCGGCUGUGGUUAUGCACAGUCACCCAUGCCUAUGAGUAUGGGAGGGAACCAGGCGAACUGAAACAUCUAAGUAGCCUGAGGAGAAGUAAUCAAACGAGAUACCCCCAGUAGCGGCGAGCGAACGGGGCAGAAGCCCAAACCGCAGAAGGAAACUUUUACGGGGUUGAGGGCCGUCAUACGAACGUGGAAUCCAGCUGAAGCUUCUGGGAAGGAGCGCCGCAGGAUGUGAAAGCCAUGUAAGCGAAAGAGGAAGCGGAACAGACGGUACCAGAGUACCGCGGGACACGAGAAACCCCGUGGGAAGCCGGGGGGACCACCCUCCAAGGCAAAACACAGAUAUCGACCGAUAGCGCAUAGUACCAUGAGGGAAAGGUGAAAAGCACCCCGGGAGGGGAAUGAAACAGAACCUGAAACCGUAUGUUUACAAGCAGUCGGAGACCGUAUAUAUAUCAGGUCGACGGCGUGCCUAUUGAAGAAUGAACCGGCGAGUUAUGAGGUCCAGCGAGGUUAAGCAGGAAAUGCGGAGCCGAAGCGAAAGCGAGUCUUAACAGGGCGAAUAGUUGGACUGCAUAGACCCGAAACCACAGUGAUCUACCCAUGUCCAGGUUGAAGCACAGGUAAAAAUGUGUGGAGGACCGAACCUAUAUCCGUUGAAAAGGGUUAGGAUGAGGUGUGGGUAGGGGUGAAAUUCCAAUCGAACGUGGAGAUAGCUGGUUCUCCCCGAAAUAGCUUUAGGGCUAGCCUCAGGGUAAAGAUUGCAGGCGGUAGAGCACUGAUCAGGAGAGGGACCUACCCGGUUACCAAACCCAGUCAAACUACGAAUGGCUGCAAUUAUACCUGGGAGUCAGACUACGACUUAUAAGGGCCGUGGUCAAAAGGGAAACAGCCCAGAUCAUCAGCUAAGGUCCCAAAUGCCGUGCUAAGUGGCGAAGGAUGUGGCGUUUCAUAAACAACCAGGAUGUUGGCUCAGAAGCAGCCACCAUUUAAAGAGUGCGUAAUAGCUCACUGGUCGAGAGACGCUGCGCCGAAAAUGUCCGGGGCUCAAGCACGGAACCGAAGCUAUGGCAUUGCGCAAGCAAUGGGUAGGGGAGCGUUCUUAUGGGGAAGAAGCAUUACCGUAAGGAGAUGUGGACACAUAAGAAGUGAGAAUGCCGGUAUGAGUAUCGAAAAGAAAGGUGAGAAUCCUUUCCACCGAAAGCCCGAGGGUUCCUGAGCAACGAUCGUCGUCUCAGGGUAAGUCGGGACCUAAGCCGAGGCACAGACGCAUAGGCGAUGGACAACAGGUUGAAAUUCCUGUACCGGAUGGAGUCAUUUGAGCAAUGGAGUGACGCAGGAGGGCACAUGAUCGCGCGACUGGAAGAGCGCGUCCAAGUGCGUAUGUUGAAUCGGAGGCAAAUCCCCGAUUCUGAAAGCAGAGACAUGAUGGGGAGUUAUAAGCGAUUAUGACGAACUCAUGGAUCCCACACUGCCAAGAAAAACUUCUAGCGAGACGAAAUCCGCCCGUACCGUAAACCGACACAGGUAGGCGGGGAGAGAAUCCUAAGGUGCGCGGGAAAACCCUCGUUAAGGAACUCGGCAAAUUGCAUCCGUAACUUCGGGAGAAGGAUGGCCCUGAGUAGGCGAAGUGCAGAAACGCACGGAACAGAAAAGGGUGGCAGAAAAGAGGCCCAAGCAACUGUUUACCAAAAACACAGGUGCCUGCGAAAGCGAAAGCUGAAGUAUAGGUGCUGACGCCUGCCCGGUGCUGGAAGGUUAAGGAGAGAGGUUAGCGCAAGCGAAGCUUUGAACUGAAGCCCCAGUGAACGGCGGCCGUAACUAUAACGGUCCUAAGGUAGCGAAAUUCCUUGUCGGGUAAGUUCCGAC